rnacentral:rRNA from 1 species
GGGGGCAAGCGUUGUUCGGAAUUACUGGGCGUAAAGGGCUCGUAGGCGGCCAACUAAGUCAGACGUGAAAUCCCUCGGCUUAACCGGGGAACUGCAUCUGAUACUGGAUGGCUUGAGUUCGGGAGAGGGAUGCGGAAUUCCAGGUGUAGCGGUGAAAUGCGUAGAUAUCUGGAGGAACACCGGUGGCGAAGGCGGCAUCCUGGACCGACACUGACGCUGAGGAGCGAAAGCCAGGGGAGCAAACGGG